rnacentral:rRNA from 1 species
UACGAAGGGGGCUAGCGUUGUUCGGAAUAACUGGGCGUAAAGCGCAUGUAGGCGGAUUUUUAAGUCAGAGGUGAAAUCCCAGGGCUCAACCCCGGCAUCGCCUUUGAUACUGGAGAUCUGGAGUCUGGGAGAGGUGAGUGGAAUUCCGAGUGUAGAGGUGAAAUUCGUAGAUAUUCGGAGGAACACCAGUGGCGAAGGCGGCUCACUGGCCCGAGACUGACCAUGAGAUGCGAAAGCGUGGGGAGCAAACAGG